rnacentral:rRNA from 1 species
GAUGAACGCUGGCGGCGUGCCUAAUACAUGCAAGUCGAGCGAACAGACGAGGAGCUUGCUCCUCUGACGUUAGCGGCGGACGGGUGAGUAACACGUGGAUAACCUACCUAUAAGACUGGGAUAACUUCGGGAAACCGGAGCUAAUACCGGAUAAUAUAUUGAACCGCAUGGUUCAAUAGUGAAAGACGGUUUUGCUGUCACUUAUAGAUGGAUCCGCGCCGCAUUAGCUAGUUGGUAAGGUAACGGCUUACCAAGGCAACGAUGCGUAGCCGACCUGAGAGGGUGACCGCCCCACCUGGACUGGAGCACGGUCCAAGAUUCCAAGGGGAGCAAGCAGUAGGGAAUCUCCGGCAAUGGGCGAAAGCUUGCCGGACCAACGCCGCGUGAGUAAUGAAGGUCUCCGGAUCUUAAAACUCUGUUAUUAGGGAAGAAAAAAUGUGAAGGUAACUAUCCCCGUCUUGACGUUACCUAAUCAGAAGCCACGGCUAACUACGUG